UCUAGCUCUGUCCGUUUUGUAAUACUUUGCAGCGUUUUUGCUACUUGCUACAAAAAAGAAACUACCUUUACAUAGUCGUCCUUGAGCACCUUGUAGGUGGCAGCGCACACUUGAUUCACGAUGUUUGAGAUGGUGUUACGGGCCACACGAAACUGGAACUGUAUCACCGACCAGCUUGAUCCUAUACGAGACAUUAGAGACACUGUUUAAAAUCACAGAGCACGAGGUAAUUGUAUGCGGAGCCUGAAAGUGAUGCUUUGCGAGCUGUCAGAGAUGCCGUGCCGGACUGGACUCCUUACGUAAUGGACGCUACCCUCCACUGCAUGUUGAAAGUUCUCGACGGGUCUGGAGUGGGCUUUUUCAGGACCAGGGACAUAGAGAUUAUGGCUGCUACGAACCCAUUUAGAUUUCAUAAGUCCUCCGAACGGCUUCUGGGAGAACAGGCUGUUGGAUUCACAAUACCAAAGAAUGCAAUAUACAAAGACUACCUCGCUAAACUGACAAUCUGGUACUUCGAGUCUGGAUGUCACGGCCGAAAUUCCCACUUUGAGAUUGCUCAAGCUCGACUGUUCACGGCCCGUAACUCUGUAACUCAAGUGCGUUGGACGCCGUUGAGUGUCAGUCAUCUCCUUGUCGGCUUCUCAGUGUGGGCAGUCGGCAUCGGCCUCGCGCUUAUUUCUUUGGUUGGAGAGAGGUGCCGCCAACGCGCUCACCAGGCCAGCAAGCACAAGUGGAGACAGUAACUUCAUAGUCCUUACUCUGCCCCAUGUUCCAAGCAUGAAUCACAAUGUAGAGCUUCAUUUGCGGAUGUGUGAUAUUAUGUGUAAACUUGUGCGUACUCCAAAUUCAUGUAACCGCGAUAACUCUCUGCCAAUGAGCAUCCCUCGGUGUAAUAGAAGCAAAGUCGGUCUGUGACGCAAGG